rnacentral:rRNA from 1 species
UACGUAGGGAGCAAGCGUUGUCCGGAAUCAUUGGGCGUAAAGCGCGCGUAGGUGGCCCCAUAAGUCCGCUGUGAAAGUCAAAGGCUCAACCUUUGAAAGCCGGUGGAUACUGUGGGACUAGAGUACGGAAGAGGCGAGUGGAAUUCCUGGUGUAGCGGUGAAAUGCGUAGAUAUCGGAAAGAACACCAGUGGCGAAGGCGGCUCUCUGGACUCAUACUGACGCUGAGGCGCGAAAGCAUGGGGAGCAAACAGG